CGGACGGGUGGGUAAUGUAUGGGGAUCUGCCUGAUGGCGGGGGAUAACUACUGGAAACGGUAGCUAAUACCGCAUAAUGUCUACGGACCAAAGCGGGGGACCUCCGGGCCUCGCGCCAUCAGAUGAACCCAUAUGGGAUUAGCUAGUAGGUAAGGUAACGGCUUACCUAGGCGACGAUCCCUAGCUGGUCUGAGAGGAUGACCAGCCACACUGGAACUGAGACACGGUCCAG
rnacentral:rRNA from 1 species